UUUUUUUUUUUUCCUGGCAUUCUUAGAGAAUAAACUGCGUCUCAGGUUCCGGUGUGAUGUCAAAAUUUGACAAGAUGAAUGAAAAAAGUAAUAGCAUUGACAGCUCCGUUACACAGCACAAUUCCUCUUGUGCUGCUGAGGGGAAUUGGCAGAUAGGAGCAGUAUCAGUGGACUAAUGUUGUUUACACAAAUGAUUAAUAUUGGGGAAAUUUAUUUUAGAGUGGGGAAGUAAUGCCCACUAGGAGGUUCAAACAAAUAACCGGAGCCUUACUAAGAAUUUAAUCCUGGUGAAGGAAGUAAGAUACUCAAAUUGUGUUUCACCUCUUCAUCUCUACACGCAAACUCUUGAAACUAAGACCUGCUUUUUUCACAGUAAAAGCAUAAAAUAACUGAUAGAGUUUUGCAAGAUAAGGAGAUAAUGCUAUCAGAAUAAGGGACUACAUUGGCAUUUUCCCAGGCUGCAAAUAUACAGUUUUGUUUGCUUUAAAAACUUGUUCCCUCGACAGAGUGCUAUAAAUACAGAUUUUUUUUUUUUAUUUUGGCAUCCACAGUAAUUGAAGAGCUGAAAAACUAUAACCUGCAAUAAUUUGUUCUUGGUUUUAACUUUAGAAAUAGUGGGACUAAUUACAAUUUUCUCCUGCUUGCUUUUAUCAAGAUCCAGGAAGCUGGAGUGAAGAUUUCACAGUUCCUCAUUUGAAGCAGGAGUGUUAAAUCAUACACCCAAAAAAUGGCCUUCAGGGUCAUCCCUUCGACAUCAUCUAAGGCAUCAUCCUGCUAGCUGUCCUAUAGUCCAUAGCAUCUUGCAAGAAAUCAGGGAUGGAUGCAAUAUUCUGACAGAAUUGAGACAGAAAUUGAGCUCAUGAAUUCGGGCACGAUUGCUUUUGGAGGGUGAAAGUCUGUAAGCAAUCAUCCUGCUCUGCUGCUACAACCUUCUGUGGGGGCUCUGUGUGCGUGCUCCCAGAGACAGCAACCCAGUGAGGUCCAUGCUGGCAACAGGCUUGAUACGAGCUGGGAUCUACCUUUCUGAACUGAAAACAUGAGGAUUACUCACAUGUUUAAAAAUAAGCCCAUGUUGAAAUUCCCUUGUUGGAUUAAGACCUAAGCCCUGCAAUUGUCACUCUUCCCACCAGAGGAAAGUGCCAGUGGCUUAACUAAAUAUACUGUCCGCAUCACAGCCUGCCAUUUCCAGAUUGUUUCUCUUUCCCCCUUUACUGGAACUCCUCCACAUUUCUGUAAGUUUAUUUUACUUUUUGGUUGGUUUGCUUUUUUUUCAUCAAUUCAUCACCUCUCCUGCUACGUCCCUUUCCCUGAGCCAUAUGUGAUCUCUCAUCCUGUCCCUUCCAUAUCUUCCUCAUCUUUCUCUGCCUAUUCACCACCCAUUGCUUCAAACUUGGAAGAAA